rfam:Triticum urartu cultivar G1812 contig1020360, whole genome shotgun sequence.
UCAGUACUCCCUCCGUCCGAAAAUACCUGUCAUCAAAAUAGACAAAAAAAAGAUGUAUCUAAAACUAUACAUCUUUUUUUGUCUAUUUUGAUGACAAGUAUUUUCGGACGGAGGGAGUACUAU